rnacentral:rRNA from 1 species
CCUACGGGCGGCAGCAGUGAGGAAUAUUGGUCAAUGGCCGGAAGGCUGAACCAGCCAUGCCGCGUGAAGGUCAGUGCCCUAUGGGCGUUAAACUUCUUUUGUGCGGGAGCAAUAAUGGUCACGUGUGGCCAGACGAGAGUACCGUACGAAUAAGCAUCGGCUAACUCCGUGCCAGCAGCCGCGGUAAUACGGGGGAUGCAAGCGUUAUCCGGCUUUAUUGGGUUUAAAGGGUGCGUAGGCUGUGAGGUAAGUCAGCGGUGAAAUGCCCCCGCUCAACGGGGUGAAGUGCCAUUGAUACUGCCUGGCUGGAAUGCGGAUGCGGUGGGAGGAAUGUGUGGUGUAGCGGUGAAAUGCAUAGAUAUCACACAGAACACCGAUUGCGAAGGCAUCUCACGAAUCCGCGAUUGACGCUGAUGCACGAAAGCGUGGGUAUCAAACAGGAUUAGAUACCCUGGUAGUC